rnacentral:rRNA from 1 species
UAAAGACAAAUAAAUUGGUUAAAACUAAUAAAUAGUUAUAAUAAAAGUACAACAACUCUACUUAUUGAAGUAAGAGUAAAAUCUUUACAAAUAAGAUAGAAAUGUGUUAAUGUAACAUUAAUCCUCUUACGAGGCGCUAGCAUAAAGACUAGGAUUAGAUACCCUAUUAUGGGCGUGAAUAAAUGAGUUUAUUAAGUUAAUAGCCUUAAUAUAAAGCAAAACCUAUUUACUAUGGCGGCUGUUAGUCUCACCAGAGUCGUAUGUCCUUAAACGAAACUGCGCGAUUAUCUUACCUUUUAACUUUUGCUUAUGUAAAAUAAUUACAUUACAGCAAUCUGGCACGUCGCUGUACUAAAAGUGAAGAUUUUAAAUAACUCAUCUUCUAAUUACUUAUUAACAUUUAUUAAUAACGUACAAGUCAAGACGCCGUUUUAAGAGGUUAAGAUGUACGAUUUAAUUGAUUUGAUAAAAUUGAUAAGAAUGAAAACUUUCUUUAUUAAAAUAAUUUGGAAGUAAAAUAAGGUUAUUAUUCUUAUUUGAAAUGAGCUACUAAUAAGU